AGCUAAGAGCUUCUGGUAAUUGAAAAACGUAGGGAUCGUUCGCCGGGCUUUGAGGGACGUCUUCUUUUUCCCUUAUCAAGCAAGCCACAAGCCGCAGGCCUUUGAUGCCAUGGUCUCGAUGUCCAGUCCCUCAGUAUCAGUCAGCGAGCGCAGAAAGAACUACUUAGCAAAAACGCCUGAAAGUAGGUUGAGAACUACACGAGCUCUUUUGAGGUUGAAACGUCCUUCGUCCUC
rnacentral:lncRNA from 1 species